AGUGAAUAGAUACCCCGGUAGUCCACGCCCUAAACCUAAUGGAGUACUCGACAUUUGUCGAUACACUGUAAAGUAGUCUGAGCGAAAGACAUUAAGUAUCCCACCUGGGAAGUACGAUCGCAAAGAUUGAAACUCAAAAGGAAAUUGGCGGGGGUCCGGCACAAGCGGUGGAGCAUGUGGUUUAAUUACGAUGAUACGCGAGGAACCUUACCUGGGCUAGAAUGCUGGGAGAUCGAGAGUGAAAGCUCUUUUGUAGCAAUACACUGCCAGUAAGGUGCUGCAUGGCUGUCGUCAGCUCGUGCCGUGAGGUAGUUGGGUUAAGUCCCGCAACGAGCCGCAACCCCCAUCACUAGUUGCCAUCAGGUAACGGCUGGGAACUCUAGUGAAACUGCCGUCGUAAAGACGUGAGGAAGAGGGGAUGAUGUCAAGUCAUCAU
rnacentral:rRNA from 1 species